rnacentral:rRNA from 1 species
CUCCUACGGGAGGCAGCAGUGGGGAAUAUUGCACAAUGGGCGAAAGCCUGAUGCAGCAAUGCCGCGUGUGUGAAGAAGGCCUGCGGGUUGUAAAGCACUUUCAGUAGGGAGGAAACAGUAACGGAACAAUACCCGUUGCCUUGACGUUACCUACAGAAGAAGCACCGGCUAACUCUGUGCCAGCAGCCGCGGUAAUACAGAGGGUGCAAGCGUUAAUCGGAAUUACUGGGCGUAAAGCGCGCGUAGGUGGUGUGGUCAGUCGGAUGUGAAAGCCCCGGGCUUAACCUGGGAAUUGCAUUCGAUACUGCCAGACUAGAGUGUAGUAGAGGGAAGCGGAAUUCCAGGUGUAGCGGUGAAAUGCGUAGAUAUCUGGAGGAACAUCAGUGGCGAAGGCGGCUUCCUGGACUAACACUGACACUGAGGCGCGAAAGCGUGGGGAGCAAACAGGAUUAGAUACCCUGGUAGUCCACGCCGUAAACGAUGUCAACUAGACGUUGGGGGGUUUAACCCUUUAGUGUCGCAGCUAACGCAAUAAGUUGACCGCCUGGGGAGUACGGCCGCAAGGUUAAAACUCAAAGGAAUUGACGG